rnacentral:rRNA from 1 species
UGUCCGNCAGAAAACUACGAGCGAAAAGCUUAAAACUCAAAGGACUUGGCGGCGCUCCAUACCAACUUAGAGGAGCCUGUCCUAUAAUCGAUACUCCACGAUACACCCUACCAAUUUUUGCCAAACCCAGCCUAUAUACCGCCGUCGCCAACUUACCCCAUGAGGGAAAAACAGUAAGUAUAAUAGCAUAUCAACUAAAACGUCAGGUCAAGGUGUAGCUGAUAAAUUGGAAGAGAUGGGCUACAUUUUUUAAAAUACAAAAUACGGCAUGGUACCAUGAAACAGGUGCCUAAAGGAGGAUUUAACAGUAAGACUAAUAAGAAAGCUAGUCUUAAACA